rnacentral:lncRNA from 1 species
AUGGUCAAGCUUGUUAAAAACACCAUCAAGUCGCACGCUGAUGAGGGAGGUUUUGCCUCUCUUCCUCUUAGAACUGAUGAGGAUCCAAAAGUUUGUGGCAGGCAGGAAAGCAGGCGGAUUUUGGUAGGAAAUUAUGUAAGAAAGCGUCAUGCCUGUUUUGUUUUUUUUUUUUCCUGGGUCCGCUGCGUGGAGUAUGGUCUCUGGUGUUUUUUUCUGGGUCCACCGUGUGGAGAAUGGUCUCUGGUGUUUUUUUCCGGGUCCACUGCGUGGAGAAUGGUCCCUGGGAGGUGUGUGCACCCACUCCUCAUCAGGUUACUCUGCUGUGAUUACCAUUGUGCGGAAGCACGGCGGGUGGUUAGAAGCUGGGUGGCAGUUUGUGCUGAGCGUCACGUCAAAGGCUCUGCUUGGAAUGCCGAGCAGAAGGAUGCUCUGGCUGAGAUGAAACACAGGGCAAGCAUCCUACUCCGGUUGUUAGAAAUCAUGAGGCAGGCUUUGGUAUAUUUUUUGGGUCUUUGUUCUUUCGUCUUUUGCUCGAAAGAGAAGCUCAGAGGAUGGCCCUGGGAGGCCGGCACAGAGGCCGCUGUGGGACUUUCUCGAGGGUGGAAACUGAUGGGCCCCAAUGAUUCCUCCUCUCCGCUCUUUCUAAAAAUUAAAAAAAAAUUUUAAGUGUCUUGUUGAUUUUUCGCUGCACUGGGUCUCCGCCGCUGCACACGGGCUUCCUCCAGUUGUGGUGUGUGGUCUUCUCAUCCCAGUGGCUUCUCUGGUUGCCAAGCAUGGUCUCUAGGGCGGGGGGUUUCCGUAGUUGCAUUGUGGGCUCUAGGGCACAGGCUCUCCGUGGUUGUGGCGCACGGGCUUAGUUGCUCCAAGAUACGUUGAAUCUUCCUGGACCAGGGAUCGAACCUGUGUCCCCUGCACCGGCAGGCAGGGAACCACCUGGGAGGUGGUGGUCAACUCCCACCAGGUGGCAGCCCCGGGACCACAGGGAAGUCCCGCCUUGGCUCUUGAUUGCACUACUUUUGUCUCCAGAGCCCAUCUUGGCUUCGGGACUAUUCAUUUAUUACCUUUUAUGAUGAAUGCUUGAAAUGUAGUCAAAGGAGAAGCUUAUUGAUACAUGCAUAAAGUGAAAGUUAGUCACUCAGUCAUGUCUCUUUAGGACCCAAUGGACUGUAUAGCCCGCUAGACUCCUCUGUCCAUGGGAUUCUCCAGGCAAGAAUACAGGAGUGGGUUGCCAUUCCCUUCUCCAGGGGAUCUUCCAGACCCAGGGAUCGAACUCCAGUCUCCUGCAUUACAGGAGGAUUCUUUACCAUCUGAGCCACCAGGGAAGCCCAAGAAUACUGCAGCAGGUAGCCUAACCCUCCUCCAGGGGGAUCUUUCCAACCUAGGGAUUGAACCGUGGUCUCCUGCAUUGCAGGCAGAUUCUUGACCCUUCUGAGCCACCAGGAAGCCACAUAUCCAUGUGUGAGUUAUGUUGUUCAGUUUGAUCGUCUCACAUGCCCUCUGCAGAUGGCCUCCUUAAACCCCGGGGGUGUGCUCUGCCUCCGUUUCCUCAUCUCGGGACACCAGGGACAGUGGUGUUAACCUCCUUCAAGCAGCGUCCGUCCAGAAGUUCAAGUACAGUGACUGCAGAUGUGUGUUCACCGCAGUGCCCUGCGCAGGUCAGCCCACACCCAGGAGCAGCGGUAGGCUCCUCUCUCUCUCUCAGAUGGCCAAGGCAUUGUGUUUUUAACCUCAUCCUGCCCUGCGUGGGGCUCCUCCGAUGAGUUCUCAGCCGCAGUAUUGACCUUUCUUACAAAAUGGUGCCACGGAGCCCAGGCAGGUGACGGCCGGGGGCCACAGCCAGCCUGCCGGGGCAGCUAGGAGGAUGCUCUCCCCCCCUGCAGGGAGCUCCUGCCCGCUUCCCCAUCCUCCUGAGCUAGAAUUUGGGAGAUCAGCCAUCCAUUUGAGCAGCUUUCUGCAGCCAGGAGUUUUCUGGGGGAGCCGAGGUGCUGGCAGGGAGCUGGUUAGGGUCUGGCACCUCCAGCGCUGCCCUGACGGCCCCUGCACACGCUGGGCUCUGGCUGAGCCGAGUGCAAGGAAGGAGGGACUGUGUGUGCGGAGCCAAGAUCACUGAAGAGGCCCUGGGGGUCGCUGGUGCCGACCCUCAUUAUGUCCUCACUGCAGAUGAAAUGAGAACGUGACCGCCCCUUCCCCCGCGGGAUGAAUGGAUCUCAGAAUAGCAUCCUGGUCACGGAGAUGCCACUUGAAACGGCUGUCUCUCCGCUUCAUCCUCCCCUCUCUCUGUUCUGCGCAGCGGGUAGGAGGCAGGUCGUGGUGAAAGCGUGUCCUCAAAGACCCUGCGCUGGGGCCGCCGGGCGGUGGGGUGCUCGCUGACUCAGAGCUGCGGUGCUUUCGUGAGUCCGGUUCUUCCAGGCCGGCCGCUUGCGUUUCGGAGGAAAAGACUUAACUGCAUCCUUGACCAUACUUGCAUUUUCACGCCUGAUAAGUGAGCCGGGCUGCAUGCGAUGAACUUGCGGGCAAGUUUGCUGGGAGGACAGGACGGAACGUGGCACCACGCGUUCCUGCAGGCAGUGGAUCCGCUUUCUGGAACCUUCUUCCCAUGGUGAACAUGCAUUUGGAGCCCAGGGCCCUGGCUGGGCUACUUUCUAGCUCUCCAGGAUUUCUGGCUUUUGAGCCCUGUAUGACUUAGACCCCUGCUUCAUGCACGUUCCUUGCUUGUCUUCCAAGGAACCUCACCUUUUAAUUUUAAAGCUUGUCAUUCUAAAGCACUUUGCAUUUCCCAUUGCUUUGACUUUUUUUUUUUCCAUCUGGGACAGUCCCCUUUUCCACUAGUGGAAAGCUUAAUAAUCCAUCAAGGACAGAUCAGCUGUCCAGUCGCUAUGGAAACUAUUUUCCUUCCCCCCAUGGGGCUCCCCUGGUGGCUCAGUAAAGAAUCCACCUGCAAAGCAGGAGACCCUGCUCCGAUCCCUGGGUUGGGAAGAUGCCCCUGGAGAAGGGACUAGUAUUCUGGCCUGGAGAAUUCCAUGGACAGAGGAGCCUGGCGGGCUGCAGUCCAUGGGGUCUCGAAGAGCUGGACACGACUGAGCGACUAACGCUUUCAUUACCCUCUGUGGGGAGGGGCUGUGUGCCGCCUUUGUGGGGUUGCCUUGUUUGCUUAUGGCACAGACACGUGGAGCCUGGCACAUGUGUGUGCAUGAGUGUCCUUCAGGCGGGGCACCGUGUCCCGUCCUGCUUGUCCCCACGCUGAGCACCUUGGUGCUUGUUGCUUGCAGGGCCCAGCACCUGUGUGUGUGGAUGGGUGGUGGGAGCUGGGUCCCCCGAGAGGCAGGCUCUAGCCAGAAUCUCACACAGAAGUGUUUAAACUGAGUGUGCGGUCACAGGCGUUGGGGGGUCAACAGUGGAUGACCAGGCGCAAGCUCAGCUUCCUGGAGUGAGUGUGUUCAGGGUAGAUGGAGGCUACAGACAAGCAGAGGUCACUAAGAUGCUAGUAGAGUGUGCAACUAGGAGGAAAGACAAGGGGAGCACACAGUAGGGAAGGGGCGUGAGUUCGUGUGAGGCUAUUUUUUUCUUCUCUUUUAGGGUGCUGAGUUGUGUCUGACUCUUGGCAACCCCAUGAACUAGACGGUCCAGGGAAUUCUCCAGGGCCGAACACUGGAGUGGGGAGCCUUGAGGUGGGGGUGUUGAAUCUGUAGUGGCCUCAGGGAGGGCCUUGCUGAGUGGACGCUUGUCACAGCCCUGCGGGGAGGGCGGAUGGGGCUGUCCUUUUGGGGAGGGCAGAGCCAGGAGCUGGGCGGGGCCCUGACGCUUUGGGGACACAGGAAGGCAGAGGAGAGGGCCAAUAGCGCUCAGAGAAGCAGUUUGGCCCAGACUUAAAGGGCCUGUGUGGACCAAAUAGCAGCAGGGAGAAGAGAGUGUCUGGGCCUUGGGAGUGGGUAGCAGUGCAGGGACCCACGGCCUGGGGGGCAGCAUCUCUCCUCUCUCCUCCCAUUGCCUGCCAUGAGUAAAACAGAAAUCCUAGGAGCCUGCAGCCCUCCAUAUGAACACUGUCACUUUGAAUCUAAUUAUCACUUCUAAUAUUAACAGUGCUGAACCUGUGGGAGCUUUCAAGUUCAAAUGAUUGAAUCCUGAAUCCAAUCCAGUAAUUAUCUCAGCAAUCGAGAUACCAUGGGCUGCGGGUCGUGGAUGCUCUAAGGCCAGAGUCACCCAGUGAUGUGGGGCUUCGCUCCUGGAAAUCACUUGCUUUUUUUUUUUGUUUUCCUCUUGCCCUCCUGUUUUUUCUGCAUGGCUUUGCCAGCCACAUUAAAAAUGUUGUGCCUCCAUCAUUGGAAAAGCUAGCGUGCUUUCCCCUGAAGGACAGGCUUGAAGGCUUUUUCUAAUGUAUUGCAUCAGCCACACGGAGUGGCUUCAGGUUAGCUCUUAAUUCAUACUUUCUGCAGCUGCUAAUAUGCCCGGUAGUCAUAAUUGUUGCACAUUUGAGAUAAAAGCUAAACCUCGGCUUAUCCCCUGCCUCCCAGGAGAAAUUCGGAGGACAGCUACGAAGCCUGAUCCAUACUGUGAUGUUGUUGAAAAAAAGAAAAUAGGGUUAUAAGCUUAUUCAGAGUCUUUGAGUGUUUCUGGUUGUGCAGACUGGGUGUUCGUGACUUAUAGUGUAAAAUCUGAAUUUCCAGGGCAGGAACCAGAGUGGUUUCUGGCUGACACACACCAUGCCUGUGAUGGGCCAGCAUCUUAUUUUUAUGUCUUAAGCAUCAUUCAGUCCCAGAAUGCAUUGGAUGGCACACACACAGUGGCUGUCCCAGGAUGUGCCGACCGCAUUCCCAGGCUUUGGAGGAAAAACCCCAGCUGCUGUGUCUGCGUGUGUAUGUGUACAUUAUGUGUGUACGUGUGUGUACAUACGCUCUCACGUGCACAUUAUGUGUAUGUUGUGUGUGCACACGGAUGUGUAUUUGUACGUGUGUGUAG